CAGGAUCUGCAGAUGCUAAGAACUUUAUACACGGACCCGGAGCCAGUCUCCUGCGGACCCUGAGACAACUGACUGACAAAGAGGCAGCAAAGGUUCACGAAAUCCUGAGAUAUUUUGAAGUUUCACACAAAGCUCCUGGAUGGAAUGGAUGUUUCAUGAUUUCCAUUAGCAGCCAUCUUGCCUCAUGAGGCCUCCUUGAGCAAGGAAACAAUGAAGGUUAGAACAAGAAGGAGCCAGGGGUUCUGACACGCCAGAGCCUCACAGUGGUGGCUCCCAACAGGCUGAGUUCACAUUGUCAUGGUAACAAAACCAGUGUUACAUUGGAAUGCAGUGUUUCUUUUUAGAGCUGAACAUUUGGGAGACGAGUCUGAAAGUGAUUGAUUUUCCUCAAAUUCCCCAAGUUGUGGGCCAUGUGACCCUAAAGAGAUCCUGCUCUGAUCCUUAGUUGGCAGUGACUGGUCUUUGGAUUUUCCUCUUCAGUGCACCCGGUGCAAGCCAUGCUUGGUCCAGCGUGGCUUCAGGGAUGAACCUGGCUGGGACAGUGACGGAAUAAGGAUGGAAAACGCCUCUUACCCUACAUUCCUGGUUCUGCCUCCAGCCUCUCCAUCCUUGACACAGAGGAUGUAGAGUGCAAAUCAGAGACCACGCUGUGCAGUGACGCCUUGCUGUUGUGGAGA